rnacentral:rRNA from 1 species
ACUUAAAUUGAAGAGUUUGAUCAUGGCUCAGAUUGAACGCUGGCGGCAGGCCUAACACAUGCAAGUCGAGCGGUAGCACAGAGAGCUUGCUCUCGGGUGACGAGCGGCGGACGGGUGAGUAAUGUCUGGGAAACUGCCUGAUGGAGGGGGAUAACUACUGGAAACGGUAGCUAAUACCGCAUAACGUCGCAAGACCAAAGUGGGGGACCUUCGGGCCUCAUGCCAUCAGAUGUGCCCAGAUGGGAUUAGCUAGUAGGUGGGGUAACGGCUCACCUAGGCGACGAUCCCUAGCUGGUCUGAGAGGAUGACCAGCCACACUGGAACUGAGACACGGUCCAGACUCCUACGGGAGGCAGCAGUGGGGAAUAUUGCACAAUGGGCGCAAGCCUGAUGCAGCCAUGCCGCGUGUGUGAAGAAGGCCUUCGGGUUGUAAAGCACUUUCAGCGGGGAGGAAGGCGAUAAGGUUAAUAACCUUGUCGAUUGACGUUACCCGCAGAAGAAGCACCGGCUAACUCCGUGCCAGCAGCCGCGGUAAUACGGAGGGUGCAAGCGUUAAUCGGAAUUACUGGGCGUAAAGCGCACGCAGGCGGUCUGUCAAGUCGGAUGUGAAAUCCCCGGGCUCAACCUGGGAACUGCAUUCGAAACUGGCAGGCUAGAGUCUUGUAGAGGGGGGUAGAAUUCCAGGUGUAGCGGUGAAAUGCGUAGAGAUCUGGAGGAAUACCGGUGGCGAAGGCGGCCCCCUGGACAAAGACUGACGCUCAGGUGCGAAAGCGUGGGGAGCAAACAGGAUUAGAUACCCUGGUAGUCCACGCCGUAAACGAUGUCGAUUUGGAGGUUGUGCCCUUGAGGCGUGGCUUCCGGAGCUAACGCGUUAAAUCGACCGCCUGGGGAGUACGGCCGCAAGGUUAAAACUCAAAUGAAUUGACGGGGGCCCGCACAAGCGGUGGAGCAUGUGGUUUAAUUCGAUGCAACGCGAAGAACCUUACCUGGUCUUGACAUCCACAGAACUUUCCAGAGAUGGAUUGGUGCCUUCGGGAACUGUGAGACAGGUGCUGCAUGGCUGUCGUCAGCUCGUGUUGUGAAAUGUUGGGUUAAGUCCCGCAACGAGCGCAACCCUUAUCCUUUGUUGCCAGCGGUCCGGCCGGGAACUCAAAGGAGACUGCCAGUGAUAAACUGGAGGAAGGUGGGGAUGACGUCAAGUCAUCAUGGCCCUUACGACCAGGGCUACACACGUGCUACAAUGGCAUAUACAAAGAGAAGCGACCUCGCGAGAGCAAGCGGACCUCAUAAAGUAUGUCGUAGUCCGGAUUGGAGUCUGCAACUCGACUCCAUGAAGUCGGAAUCGCUAGUAAUCGUAGAUCAGAAUGCUACGGUGAAUACGUUCCCGGGCCUUGUACACACCGCCCGUCACGCCAUGGGAGUGGGUUGCAAAAGAAGUAGGUAGCUUAACCUUCGGGAGGGCGCUUACCACUUUGUGAUUCAUGACUGGGGUGAAGUCGUAACAAGGUAACCGUAGGGGAACCUGCGGUUGGAUCACCUCCUUACCUUAAAGAA